AGUGAACGCUGGCGGUAGGCCUAACACAUGCAAGUCGAACGGCAGCACAGUAAGAGCUUGCUCUUACGGGUGGCGAGUGGCGGAAGGGUGAGGAAUACAUCGGAAUCUACUUUUUCGUGGGGGAUAACGUAGGGAAACUUACGCUAAUACCGCAUACGACCUACGGGUGAAAGCAGGGGAUCUUCGGACCUUGCGCGAUUGAAUGAGCCGAUGUCGGAUUAGCUAGUUGGCGGGGUAAAGGCCCACCAAGGCGACGAUCCGUAGCUGGUCUGAGAGGAUGAUCAGCAACACUGGAACUGAGACACGGUCCAGACUCCUACGGGAGGCAGAAGUGGGGAAUAUUGGAAGAGGGGCGAAAGCCUGAUCCAGCCAUACCGCGUGGGUGAAGAAGGCCUUCGGGUUGUAAAGCCCUUUUGUUGGGAAAGAAAAGCAGCAGGUUAAUACCCCGCUGUUCUGACGGGACCAAAAGAAGAAGCACCGGCUAACUUCG
rnacentral:rRNA from 1 species